UACGUAGGGUGCAAGCGUUGUCCAGAAUUAUUGGGCGUAAAGAGCUCGUAGGCGGUGUGUCGCGUCGGCCGUGAAAACCUGCAGCUUAACUGUGGGCUUGCGGUCGAUACGGGCAUCACUGGAGUUCGGCAGGGGAGACUGGAAUUCCUGGUGUAGCGGUGAAAUGCGCAGAUAUCAGGAGGAACACCGGUGGCGAAGGCGGGUCUCUGGGCCGAUACUGACGCUGAGGAGCGAAAGCGUGGGGAGCGAACAGG
rnacentral:rRNA from 1 species